UACGUAGGGGGCAAGCGUUGUCCGGAAUUAUUGGGCGUAAAGGGCGCGUAGGCGGUCCGAUAAGUCGGCUGUGAAAGUCAGGGGCUCAACCCUUGAAAGCCGGCCGAUACUGUCGGACUAGAGUCCGGAAGAGGCGAGUGGAAUUCCCGGUGUAGCGGUGAAAUGCGCAGAUAUCGGGAGGAACACCAAUGGCGAAGGCAGCUCGCUGGGACGGUACUGACGCUGAGGCGCGAAAGCAUGGGGAGCAAACAGG
rnacentral:rRNA from 1 species